rnacentral:rRNA from 1 species
UACUCCUACGGGAGGCAGCAGUGGGGAAUUUUGGACAAUGGGCGCAAGCCCGAUCCAGCCAUGCCGCGUGCAGGAUGAAGGCCUUCGGGUUGUAAACUGCUUUUGUACGGAACGAAAAGACUCUUUCUAAUAAAGAGGGUCCAUGACGGUACCGUAAGAAUAAGCACCGGCUAACUACGUGCCAGCAGCCGCGGUAAUAAU